rnacentral:rRNA from 1 species
UACGGAGGGUGCGAGCGUUGUCCGGAAUCAUUGGGCGUAAAGGGCGCGUAGGUGGCGGGACAAGCGUGCGGUGAAAGCCUGGGGCUCAACCCCGGGUCGGCCGUGCGAACUGUUUUGCUUGAGCACUGUAGAGGCAGGCGGAAUUCCGGGUGUAGCGGUGGAAUGCGUAGAGAUCCGGAAGAACACCGGUGGCGAAGGCGGCUUGCUGGGCCAGUUCUGACGCUGAGGAGCGAAAGCGUGGGGAGCGAACAGG